rnacentral:rRNA from 1 species
GAUGAACGCUGGCGGCGUGCCUAACACAUGCAAGUCGAACGGAACUAUUUUGCAAACUCCUUCGGGAGCGGAAUCUUUAGUUUAGUGGCGGACGGGUGAGUAACGCGUGAGCAAUCUGCCUUUAAGAGGGGGAUAACAGUCGGAAACGGCUGCUAAUACCGCAUAAAGCAUCAAAUUCGCAUGUUUUUGAUGCCAAAGGAGCAAUCCGCUUUUAGAUGAGCUCGCGUCUGAUUAGCUAGUUGGCGGGGUAACGGCCCACCAAGGCGACGAUCGGUAGCCGGACUGAGAGGUUGAACGGCCACAUUGGGACUGAGACACGGCCCAGACUCCUACGGGAGGCAGCAGUGGGGAAUAUUGCGCAAUGGGGGAAACCCUGACGCAGCAACGCCGCGUGAUUGAAGAAGGCCUUCGGGUUGUAAAGAUCUUUAAUCAGGGACGAAUCAAUGACGGUACCCACAGAAGAAGCCCCGGCUAACUCCGUGCCAGCCGCCGCGGUAA